UACAGAGGUGGCAAGCGUUGUUCGGAAUUACUGGGCGUAAAGGGCGCGUAGGCGGCCAUCUAAGUCAGACGUGAAAUCCCCCGGCUUAACCUGGGAACUGCGUCUGAUACUGGAAGGCUUGAGUAUGGGAGAGGGAUGUAGAAUUCCAGGUGUAGCGGUGAAAUGCGUAGAUAUCUACAGGAACUCCGGUGGCGAAAGCGGCGUGCUGGACCUUUUCUGACGCUGAGGCGCGAAAGCUAGGGGAGCAAGCGGG
rnacentral:rRNA from 1 species